rnacentral:lncRNA from 1 species
CUGACUUUCUAUCUGACAGGUUUGCAUGUGUAAAUAUUUGUGUUUCUAUGCCUUUAUCUGCUUCUUUUACUUAUUUAUGAACACUGAAUCUACAGAAAAGAAGUUUAUCUCAGACAAAAUGUGCAAAAUGUGUUGUAUAAAUGACCCUUGUCUAACGCCUUGUUUGGAUGAAGUCAAUAGUGGGGAGCUUGGUAUAUAAAAUUUGAUGUCCAUAUUAGAGACCUCACUAAAUUUGUAUCAAAUGCACUUAACUAUGUCUAUUGUACCUGUUCCAUUUCACAUAAUAUAUUUCUUUUCUUCUGUAGGAUAGCAAGUGGUUUAAAUAUAAGCCUGUUGAGAAUAAAUUGCAUGCAAGUUUUUCCCUAAAAAGGCAAAAAUCUUUGUAUCAGCCCAUACUGCUUGUAAGAAAAGUUAAUUGCAAGAGUCUUUUUGUGCUCAGAUUUGUUGUAUCAUGUCACAUGAGUAUAGAAAUGAUAAAAAAAACACAAUUUUUUAUUUCUUAUAGCCUCAAUAUGCAUUUUUUAAUGUAAAUAUGUGGCACGGCCUAAAUUGACC